rnacentral:rRNA from 1 species
UGAGGAAUAUUGGGCAAUGGACGAAAGUCUGACCCAGCCAUGCCGCGUGGAGGAUGAAGGCCCUCUGGGUUGUAAACUUCUUUUAUUGGGGAAGAAAAGCACUGUUUCUACGGUGUCCGACGGUACCCAAGGAAUAAGCACCGGCUAACUCCGUGCCAGCAGCCGCGGUAAUACGGAGGGUGCAAGCGUUAUCCGGAUUUACUGGGUUUAAAGGUGCGUAGGCGGGCUAGUAAGUCAGAGGGUGAAAUCUCCAAGCUUAACUUGGAAACUGCCCCUGAUACUAUUAGUCUUGAAUAUCGAUGAGGUGGGCGGAAUACAUCAUGUAGCGGUGAAAUGCUUAGAUAUGAUGUAGAACACCGAUUGCGAAGGCAGCUCACUAACCGAUUAUUGACGCUGAGGCACGAAAGCGUGGGGAUCAAACAGGAUUAGAUACCCUGGUAGUCCACGCCCUAAACGAUGAUUACUCGACAUUGGCGAUACACUGUCAGUGUCCAAGCGAAAGCAUUAA